GAACGCUGGCGGCGUGCCUAAUACAUGCAAGCCGAGCGAACGGACGAGAAGCUUGCUUCUCUGAUGUUAGCGGCGGACGGGUGAGUAACACGUGGAUAACCUACCUAUAAGACUGGGAUAACUUCGGGAAACCGGAGCUAAUACCGGAUAAUAUUUUGAACCGCAUGGUUCAAAAGUGAAAGACGGUCUUGCUGUCACUUAUAGAUGGAUCCGCGCUGCAUUAGCUAGUUGGUAAGGUAACGGCUUACCAAGGCAACGAUGCAUAGCCGACCUGAGAGGGUGAUCGGCCACACUGGAACUGAGACACGGUCCAGACUCCUACGGGAGGCAGCAGUAGGGAAUCUUCCGCAAUGGGCGAAAGCCUGACGGAGCAACGCCGCGUGAGUGAUGAAGGUCUUCGGAUCGUAAAACUCUGUUAUUAGGGAAGAACAUAUGUGUAAGUAACUGUGCACAUCUUGACGGUACCUAAUCAGAAAGCCACGGCUAACUACGUG
rnacentral:rRNA from 1 species